AUGAGUGUAUUAAUAGUCUCAACAUUUAAAUCUUUGGUCCAGCGACAGCUCCUAGGAUGCUGGCUUGCAGGAGGGCUGCCAGAGGCCAAGGGCAUUGUGCUACUAGCACUCAGUGCCAGGCAGUGGAUGCCUGGAGUGAAAUUAAGAGCCCAGAGCAAGUGCAAGGACAAGAUUCCUUCUGGGGAAAAAAAAAAAAAAGAGAAAAAAAAAAAAAGGAACAAUAAUAGCUCAAUGACUCAACAAAGGAAAGGUAACAGCAACCACAACCCCCCCCUGCACCAUGCACACAUCGCAAGCCCACUCCUUUGUGCUGGGCAAGGCCCUGGCAGCCCCCUCGCUCCCUGCGAGCUCUUGGAGCACAUGCAGGCAGGCGGCUGCUCCUCCAGCUCCCCCACAGUCUUCUAGGGCCGCAAAGCCGCCCCACAGCUGGCACCAGCUCCUCCAUUCACAAGGGUGGGAGGAUGGUACCGUCGCCCUCCCUUGCUCAGAGAUGAUCAUGCAGAAACCACCUGAGCCUUGCCAGGAAUGAGGGUCCCAAGAAAGCCAACCCCGAGAUGAGUUAGACUGAAUGGGCACAGCCUCCACGCAGUGACGUUUCUGCCAGUUGCGGAGGCCAGGUCUCUUUAAAGGGAUCAUCCCUUCCUGUCCUCCUCCUACUCCAAAUGUUGUUCCAGGGGAGCAAGAAGAGGGUACGUUUGGAAGAUGGUGUUAGUACUAAAACAGCAAGAUGUUGCUCAGGCAAGGGUGCAAAAAAGCUUCUUUUCACAGACUCAGCACUAACCAACUCAUUGCUGCUAUCUCUCGUGGAGCUGCCAGAGCACCCAGGCCAAGGGGGGGGGGAGCCAAAAACAGCCCAGUGCUCCACCUCUGAGCAUCUCUCAGAUGCUUGGGGCUGGGGCCAGUGCUGACACCCCAUCUCUCUCCAUCUGCAGGGAGAGAGGAGCAGCUCCAUCUCCAGCACCACACGGAUCUGGCCCAAUCUAAGCACAAGAAAAAUCUGGCCUCUGAUAUGGACCCAAGAGCUUUGGCAGCACUGACUAGUCCCAAGCAUUAGCAGCCCAGGUACCAAUUAAGUCCUCCCAGAAGGGAGCAAGGAACAGGCACAGUGUCACCUGCCCAGCAGUCAGCUGCAAGAAGGGUUGCUGUAAUACCUGCUGUUGGACUGGGGCUGCCUGUCUGUCCCGAGGCACAAAGAAGGAACCCACUCUCCUUCCUUCUCACCUUAGCCCACUCCAGCCACUAUGGAUCCUUGGUACACAGAAGGGAGCAGAAAACUAGUGCUGUCUCUACCGGCAGACACAGCUGCUCUGCUUUGCCCCGCCAUGCACCAGGCCCCAGCAAGCCUAAGCACUCAACUCACCGGGGACAGAGAUGGAAGGAGAGCAAGUGAUUUGUGAGCCUGGCA
rnacentral:lncRNA from 1 species